rnacentral:misc_RNA from 1 species
GGAGAAUGACAUGGCAGAUUGGGCUGAAGUGGAACUUCCUGAUUCUACCUGCAGAAAAUCUUUUGAUGCUUCCCAAAGAAAAGCAAUUGCAUUAGGUUUAAACAAGAAUCGACCUAUAAUGAUAAUUCAAGGGCCUCCUGGCACAGGGAAGACUGGUUUGCUUAAGGAAUUGAUUUCUCUUGCUGUAAAACAAGGUGAAAGGGUGCUUGUAACUGCACCGACAAAUGCAGCUGUGGACAACAUGGUUGAAAAGUUGUCUGAUAUUGGAAUCAACAUUGUUCGGGUUGGAAAUCCUGCACGAAUAUCCCCUGAUGUUGCUUCAAAAUCUUUGGCUGAAAUUGUGAAUAACAGGCUGUCUGAUUUCCGAGCAGAAAUUGAGAGGAAGAAGUCAGAUCUUAGAAGGGACCUGAGGUAUUGUCUUAAGGAUGACUCUUUAGCUGCUGGUAUACGUCAACUUCUGAAACAGCUUGGGAAGUCCAUC